UGCAGAAGGGACCAGACAGGUGGCCACCACUUUCUCCCACAGAGCAAAAAAUAUAUGCAAGAGGAGACAUUGGUGCCAGUACAACACUAAAGGAAAACAGGAAAUACCAAGAGAAGAAAAGGCAACAGGACAGGGAGGUCACUGGCUUCAAGUUAUUUUACUGCCUGAAAAAUACGCUCAUAGGUCAUGGGGCAACAGACGGAAGAGGAUGAAUCCUUGCACACGCAUGAAGCCACCCAUCAUACAUGUGUGGUAUACAAGCUUUGACACAGAUAAUCAAAUUCGUUUGUCAGCCUGACAGACACAGUGCUAACACAUUUGUCGGACUCUUUUUUGAUGCUACAGGAUUCAAGAAUAAAUAUGCAUUUUUCAUUGUUGCACCCUCUCAGCA